rnacentral:rRNA from 1 species
AUUGAACGCUGGCGGCAGGCUUAACACAUGCAAGUCGAGCGAGCGGCGGACGGGUGAGUAAUGUCUGGGCAACUGCCUGAUGGAGGGGGAUAACUCCUGGAAACGGUAGCUAAUCCCGCAUACCAUCAGAUGUGCCCAGAUGGGAUUAGCUUGUAGGUGGGGUAAUGGCUCCCCUAGGCGACGAUCCCUAGCUGGUCUGAGAGGCUGACCAGCCACACUGGAACUGAGACACGGUCCAGACGCCUACGGGAGCCAGCACUGGGGAAGAUGGCACAAUGGGCGCAAGCCUGAUGCAGCCAUGCCGCGUGUAUGAAGAAGGCCUUCGGGUUGUAAAGUACUUUCAGCGAGGAGGCGUUACUCGCAGAAGAAGCACCGUCUAACUCCGUGCCAGCAGCCGCGGUAAUAC